rnacentral:rRNA from 1 species
ACCGUAAGGUGGUCUCAGAAUAAGGGCUGGGCAAGACCGGUGCCAGCCGCCGCGGUAAUACCGGCAGCCCGAGUGAUAGCCACUCUUAUUGGGCCUAAAGCGUCCGUAGCUGGCCGAACGGGUCCGUCGGGAAAUCCACCCGCUCAACGGGUGGGCGUCCGGCGGAAACCAGUCGGCUUGGGACCGGAGGACCUGCGGGGUACGUCCGGGGUAGGAGUGAAAUCCUGUAAUCCCGGACGGACCGCCGGUGGCGAAAGCGCCGCAGGAGGACGGAUCCGACAGUGAGGGACGAAAGCUUGGGUCUCGAACCGGAUUAGAUACCCGGGUAGUCCAAGCCGUAAACGAUGCUCGCUAGGUGUGGCGCAGGCUACGAGCCUGCGCUGUGCCGUAGGGAAGCCGAGAAGCGAGCCGCCUGGGAAGUACGUCCGCAAGGAUGAAACUUAAAGGAAUUGGCGGGGGAGCACUACAACCGGAGGAGCCUGCGGUUUAAUUGGACUCAACGCCGGACAUCUCACCGGCACCGACAAUGUGCAGUGACGGUCAGUGUGAUGAGCUUACCUGAGCCAUUGAGAGGAGGUGCAUGGCCGCCGUCAGCUCGUACCGUGAGGCGUCCUGUUAAGUCAGGCAACGAGCGAGACCCGCAUCCCUAAUUGCCAGCAACACCCAUGUGGUGGUUGGGUACAUUAGGGAGACUGCCGCUGCCAAAGCGGAGGAAGGAACGGGCAACGGUAGGUCAGUAUGCCCCGAAUGUGCCGGGCUACACGCGGGCUACAAUGGCCGAGACAGUGGGACGCUACCCCGAGAGGGGACGCUAAUCUCCUAACCUCGGUCGUAGUUCGGAUUGCGGGUUGAAACCCACCCGCAUGAAGCUGGAUUCGGUAGUAAUCGCAUUUCAGAAGAGUGCGGUGAAUACGUCCCUGCUCCUUGCACACACCGCCCGUCAAAGCACCCGAGUGAGGUCCGGAUGAGGUCGACGCAACGUCGAUCGAAUCUGGGCUUCGCAAGGGGG